rnacentral:rRNA from 1 species
UACGUAGGGCGCAAGCGUUGUCCGGAAUUAUUGGGCGUAAAGAGCUCGUAGGCGGCGUGUCGCGUCGGUUGUGAAAGCCCGGGGCUUAACUCCGGGUCUGCAGUCGAUACGGGCAUGCUUGAGUUCGGUAGGGGAGAUCGGAAUUCCUGGUGUAGCGGUGAAAUGCGCAGAUAUCAGGAGGAACACCGGUGGCGAAGGCGGAUCUCUGGGCCGAUACUGACGCUGAGGAGCGAAAGCAUGGGGAGCGAACAGG